CUUAAAAAAUACAAAAUACUCAAAAAUUGAAUUUGCUUCUACUUUCAAAGCGUGAAAUAGUAUCAUUUAUUUGAGUAAAAAGAAUAAUUUACUCUUACUGUGUAUUAUUGUGAUAGCAGAAGCGAAGAACAAGGAAUAAUUGUGUAAAUUAUGGAUCUACGAAAAGUUUCUGAUCAAGACAAACUUCAACUAUGUCGUCGUUAUUUUGUGAUAGGUUUUGCCUUUCUUCCGUUUCUGUGGUUUGUCAACUUCGUGUGGUUUUUCAAAUACGCCUUUUAUGUGAAACACUUCGAAGGACAGAAGAAGAUGAGAUAUUAUUUGACUGGUUCGUUGAUUGGAUUUUUGGUGUGGUUUAUUGGCUUGACAGUUUGGAUAAGUGUGUAUCAAAAGAACAGAGCAAGUUGGGGGGCAACUGGUGACAUGAUAUCAUUUUUAAUUCCCCUAGGAGAACCAUGAAUAUAAUUGAACCGACAACCUAUUUGAACAUCUGAUAUUCUUGUACAGAUAUAGAAGUGCUGUGCAUCAAAUUUACAAUGGACAAUUGCUUUAACUAUUUAUAGGCCGUAUUCUGAAGUCGAUUAUCGUUCAAAAAAUAUAAACUUUACGGGGUCUACUUAAAAACAACUUAAAUCUAUAGAUUUUUACCUACUGAAUACAAAUAUGCUUGUUGGCACCUCUGAAAUCCUGCUGUUUUUUAGUAAAACCCCUCGAAAGUUCGAAAUUUUUUACUCGUGUUUUGAU
rnacentral:lncRNA from 1 species